UGGCUGAGUGGUAAAGCACUUGGCUUACGAAUCGAGGGUUCCCUGGUUCGAAUCCAGG
rnacentral:tRNA from 1 species